CUACGGGUGGCAGCAGUGGGGAAUAUUGCACAAUGGGCGCAAGCCUGAUGCAGCCAUGCCGCGUGUGUGAAGAAGGCCUUCGGGUUGUAAAGCACUUUCAGCGGGGAGGAAGGCGUUAAGGUUAAUAACCUUGUCGAUUGACGUUACCCGCAGAAGAAGCACCGGCUAACUCCGUGCCAGCAGCCGCGGUAAUACGGAGGGUGCAAGCGUUAAUCGGAAUUACUGGGCGUAAAGCGCACGCAGGCGGUCUGUCAAGUCGGAUGUGAAAUCCCCGGGCUCAACCUGGGAACUGCAUUCGAAACUGGCAGGCUAGAGUCUUGUAGAGGGGGGUAGAAUUCCAGGUGUAGCGGUGAAAUGCGUAGAGAUCUGGAGGAAUACCGGUGGCGAAGGCGGCCCCCUGGACAAAGACUGACGCUCAGGUGCGUAAGCGUGGGGAGCAAACAGGAUUAGAUACCCCUGUAGUC
rnacentral:rRNA from 1 species